rnacentral:lncRNA from 1 species
CAGAGGCCCCAGGGACCUGUAGGCAGGUGGAGAGGGGAUGGGGGAGGUCUCAGGUCCUCUUGCUCACCCAUCAGCUGUGUAGUGUCUGAAGUGAUUAAGGAGCUUGGGGAGGCCUCCCAGGCUGGUCUGCUCCACUGGCCCUCAGAAAGACUUGUCGCCUCGCCGAGCCUCAGUGUUCUCAUCUGAAGAAUAGAGUGGGCAAGGCCUUUCUCCUACACACUCAGAGCCCUGAAUGGGAAGAAAUGGGUUCCAUGUGCAGCAAGCCAGGAGAGAUUUAGGCAACGAGAACCUCCAGUUCUGUCUUAGGGUUCCCAGCUUUCUCCUUGUCCUGAGGGAGCCGCUGAGCCUGUGGGAGAUGAGGGGUGCCCAUUCCCCAGUGCUUCUCACCCUCCCCCACCUGCCCUCCUGGGGUACCUUUGUCUGCCACUUGCAUCCUAUUGGAAGCUGUCCCCAAGUGCGUGUUAGGCAGGUGGCAGGUGCUGGAGCAGAGUGCACCACCCUCCGGCGAUCACUGUGAGUUGGGGUAAGAGUGGGGUGUUCCUGCCAGCCCCAGGAGAGGGGAAAGCAAGCCCCCGUCCACCCUUGUGGGUCUCUGCUCCUGGAAAAGGUGCUCUAGCAGGCUCAUCUGUGUGAGUCACUGUCUUCCAUGUGGGGGUUUCAUUCUGUCACCAAGGCUGGAGUGCAGUGGCGUGAUCUUGGUUCACUGCAACCUCUCCCUCCCGGACUCAAGCCAUCCCCCUGCCUCUGUCUCCUGAGUAGCUGGAAUUAUAGAUGUACACCACCACACCUGACUAGUUUUUUAAUUUUUUGUGAAGACGGAGUUUUGCAGUGUUGCCUGGGCUGGUCUCAACUCCUGGGCUCAAGAAAUCCACCUGCCUCUGCCUCCCAAAGUGCUGGGAUUACAGAUAAUGCUGGAAGCCAAGCUUGCACAUUCUAGGCAGCCAUUUGGAAGAUUCUUCUCUGCGCAUGACCAGCUGAAAAGGAAAAACCCCGAAACAUUGGCACUGUGAUUUCUCCAUGUGAACAGUUUAGUUCGCCGAGGUGGACAUGCCUCAUUCAUGCUUAUGGAGUGACCGACCAGCCUUUAGUGACACCCCCUGAAAUGUGAGUCAUCCAUGGGUCACUAGUCAUUGGAGAAGAGCCCCUUAUACAAAACUUGGAGCUCAGACCACAAACAACAACAACAAUCCAAAAAAUAAAAAAAUGAAAAAUUAGGAGCAGAGACUAAAUGGAAAGAUGGAAAUAUUAAAAUAAAAAUAUUAUUUUAAAAAUUAAUAUGUAUUAAAAUUUUAUUUAAAGUAAAAAUAAAUAAAAUAAAAAAAUUAAUAUUAAUUAAUACCAAUAUUCUCCCUUUUAUUAAUAUCAUC